GCAGGGAAAGCUGCAGUGAAAGCACCCGCAAAGAGCACCGGUAAAUCAGGAUCUGGUGCCCCCCAACAGAAAAAAACUGGAGCAUCUCACUCCAUCCAACCUAAGGGCAAGACAGUCAAGUCAAACCCUCUGGCACAUUCAAACAGAACAGAGCCAACAAAGAAAUUAAACACUGAGCCAAGUCGGGAGGAUCGGGCCGCCCUGGCCAUCCAGUGCUUCGUGAGGCAACUGCUGGCUAAGAGAGCGAGGCAGCGAAGAGAGAAGGAGAAGAAGGUGUAUGAGGAGCUCAUGGACCGCCUAGAGAAGGAGGCCUUUGUUACACUGGUGCGCCGGGAGCAGGAGGAAGCGGAACGUGAGAGGAUGAAGGAGGAGGAGGAGAGGAGGAAGAAGAAGGAGGAGCAGCGCUUACGUACACGGCUCCUGGAGGCCGCUUUCGAUGGCGAGGAAGAGGAGAUCCUGGCUGUCCUCAAAGAGGUCAGACAAAUAACCAAAAGAGAGAAAUGAAAAAGACAAGUUUAAAGCAGUUUUUGUGCUAUACAGAGUAAAGAAAAAAUAAUUAAAAGAUGCCACAUGUUGUAACAGCUGUGACUCUGGUAGGUAGAUGUUCAAGUAGGACUUAAGUUUUCAAAAUGUAUGUUGACAAAGCCAUAAAGGUACAGUCCUCUAGCUGUCUUUUCUGUCUGUACUCAAAACUUCCCUGGUGUUCACACAAAGUCCUUGCACUGUAAAUGGGAAACAAAGUACACUAUCACAGCCACACAUUGCUUCAGGUGCACGGAAGGGAGGGGUGUUAUUUGAUAGCCAAAAUAUCAACAACCUUUCCUCAGAAUCACGGAUU
rnacentral:lncRNA from 1 species